UCUGAAAUAGCUCAGUUGGUAGAGCGUCAGACUACAAGUCGAAAGGAAAGAUCCUUGGUUCGAUCUCGGGUUCCGGCA
rnacentral:tRNA from 1 species